rnacentral:rRNA from 1 species
UACGGAGGGUGCAAGCGUUAUUCGGAAUUACUGGGCGUAAAGCGCACGCAGGCGGUCUGUUAAGUCAGAUGUGAAAUCCCCGGGCUCAACCUGGGAACUGCAUCUGAGACUGGAAGGCUUGAGUCUCGGAGAGGGGGGUGGAAUUCCCGGUGUAGCGGUGAAAUGCGUAGAGAUCUGGAGGAAUACCGGUGGCGAAGGCGGCCCCCUGGACGAAGACUGACGCUCAGGUGCGAAAGCGUGGGGAGCAAACAGG